AACGACUCUCGGCAACGGAUAUCUCGGCUCUCGCAUCGAUGAAGAACGCAGCGAAAUGCGAUACUUGGUGUGAAUUGCAGAAUCCCGUGAACCAUCGAGUCUUUGAACGCAAGUUGCGCCCAAAGCCUUCCGGCCGAGGGCACGUCUGCCUGGGCGUCACGC
rnacentral:rRNA from 1 species